AUUGAACGCUGGCGGCAGGCCUAACACAUGCAAGUCGAACGAGUGGCGGACGGGUGAGUAUUGUCUGGGAAACUGCCCGAUGGAGGGGGAUAACUACUGGAAACGGUAGCUACUACCGCAUACCAUCGGAUGUGCCCAGAGGGGAUUAGCUAGUAGGUGGUGUAACGGCUCACCUAGGCGACGAUCCCUAGCUGGUCUGAGAGGAUGAGCAGCAAAACUGGAACUGAGAAACGGUCCAGACUCCUACGGGAAGCAGCAGUGGGGAAUAUUGCACAAUGGGCACAAGCCUGAUGCAGCCAUGCCGCGUGUAUGAAGAAGGCCUUCGGGUUGUAAAGUACUUUCAGCGAGGAGGCGUUACUCGCAGAAGAAGCACCGUCUAACUCCGUGCCAGCCGCCGCGGUAAUAC
rnacentral:rRNA from 1 species